GACAUUGGUCUGUGGGUCAGUGGCCGAGUGAUGAUUGUUUACAAAUAGAGGAUGUCGACAGCUCUAAUGGCCAAUUUUUUGUAGGUGCUAGCUGAAAACUCAAAUUAAAUCAUGCAAUUGUAUCUUUUACUCCAGAAAACCAGUGGUUUUGAUUUUUUGAGGUGAAUCGAUUCGCAAAUCUGGUGUCCUUGGCGAACCAGACAGAGAAGAUAUGGAGUACGUCCACCCAAUUUGCUGUACGCAGAAAAUCGCCGUCUACGAGACGAAAACGAGAUUUUAUCUGGUGGCAUCAAACAAUGCACAAACACGUUUUAGGGUUUUGAAGAUAGACAGAACUGAACCAACAGAGUUGGUCCUCAUAGAUGACAAGGUGGAAUAUAACCAGAAACAAAUUCGAACACUUCUUCAAAUGAUAGAUGUUGGGAAUAGACCAAAAGCAUCAAGAUCAUAUGAUAAAGGAAUUAGUGGGCUGCAUCACAGAGGGUCAGCAUUCGGAAUAGUUGGAUUUGUCAAAUUUUUGGAAGGAUAUUACAUGAUUCUCAUUUCAAAGAGGCGAAGAGUAGCAUUGAUUGGAGGUCACACUAUUUAUAAAAUUGAUGAUACAGUUAUGAUUCCUAUUGCAAACGAACAAGCCAGAAUCAAAUUUUCAAAUCCAGAUGAAACAAGGUAUCUGAGGAUUUUUCAAAAUGUGGAUUUAUCCAGCAAUUUUUACUUCAGUUAUAGCUACGAUCCGACACACACCUUACAGUACAACCUUGCACCGAAUUUCGGCCUACCAGAGAAGUUUGUUGAAAAAGAGCCAGAAGAUGGGAUUUCGACUGACGUGGAAGCAAAAGUCUUUAUGGAUGGGUUGGAUAAGGAUCUGAUAAGAAAAUAUAGCAAGUCUGAUGAUCCCCGGAAAGAGGCGAGUCCAACUUCAAAACGAGAACUGAACACUACCGGUCAACAGGAAAGAAUGACACCAACACAACCUGAGGCUUCUCCUGUAUACGUUAGUGGGGAUGAAUGCGAGACAUCCUUUACAAAGAAAAAGGUCAAAUACAACAAAAAGCAGUAUGUCCCAUACAGAGGCCGACCGUAUGAGAAGUUCGUUUGGAACAUUCAUUUAUUGGAAAAUUUCAAGGAGCAGGUUCACCCGGAUUGGAUAUUGUAUAUCAUACAUGGAUUUGUUGGCCAGUCAAAUAUUUGCGUUCACGGUAAGCCCAUUUACGUUACUUUGAUAGCAAGAAGAUCGAAUCAAUUCGCAGGAACAAGAUUCUUGAAGCGUGGAGUAAAUGAUGAAGGGUUUGUUGCCAAUGAUGUUGAAACAGAGCAAAUUGCUCACGAUGCCUCGUUUAUAUCAUUGAAAAGUGGUAGAUACACUUCCUACACACAGCUACGAGGCUCAGCCCCUUUCUACUGGUCGCAAGACACCUCUCAAGGCAGAAUUGUUCCAAAACCGCAGAUUCUUGUCGAUCGCACAGACCCGUACUACGCUUCUGCUGCUCUUCAUUUAAAUAAGCUAAUGGCGAGGUUCGGUGCCCCAAUUAUCAUUUUGAAUCUAGUCAAGAAAAGAGAACGACGGCCCCAUGAGCAAAUACUGAGCGAAAACCUAAAGCAAAUAGUUGUGUAUGUGAACCAAUUCAUCCCACCUGAAUUUGCUGUACAGUACAUCGCCUGGGAUAUGGCAAGGGUUACAAAGAGCAAAGAGAUAAGUGUCAUCGAAAGGCUUGCUGAAAUAGCAGAGAAGAUUGUGAAAGAAACAGGAUUUUUUCAUAGUGGCCCACAGCUCUACUGCAACAAAAUCAGAAGUCACCCAAAAUUCAAUGGCAUGAAAGGGUACGGAUACAACAAGAAACAUCCUGGCCUGUGUCAGACGGGUAUACUUCGCGUCAAUUGUGUGGACUGUCUCGAUCGCACGAACACUGCUCAGUUCAUGGUUGGUAAAUGCGCUCUUGGUUUCCAGCUCUACGCUCUUGGUGUCACAGACAGUCCCCACAUCGAGUUUGAUUCAGAUGUAGUGAGGGUCUUGGAAGAACUCUAUGAAGCGCACGGAGAUACGUUAGCAGUUCAAUAUGGUGGUUCUCAGAUGGUUCACAGAAUUCGAACAUAUCGAAAAAUUUCUCCGUGGACGUCACAUUCAAGGGAUAUCAUGCAGACUGUAUCCAGAUAUUACAGCAAUGCCUUCACUGACAACGACAAGCAGCAGGCAAUCAAUUUGUUUCUCGGUGUAUUCAUACCUAAAGAAGGCACUUUGAAAUUAUGGGAUCUUCCAACAGACUAUUACUUACACCAUUGCGACACAAUGGAUCUUCAGGGUAAAGCAUUUAAGCCAAGUUACACGAAAUGGUGGAGUGACGAUGUUUUGCAAGCUCUUCCUUUCCCUUCCGAUGAAGUUGAAAAAGGAAAAUCGUUGAAGAAACAUGAAGUUGGCAAUGCUGACGAAGACGAAGAAACACUUGACAUCUUCUCUGAGUAUUAUCGACCGUUUGAACUCACCCAAUUUGAUACUGUGUAUCCGAGGGAAAUGCCAAAAUCGUGCAGGGAUUUUAUGCCUCCGUCAUCAACAGAUUGUAGUCCCUUUGUGGUCCGUGCAAGAGGCAGAGCAAUCGCGCCCGGUGUGCCACCACGAAAAGCAAUCGUUGGUUCUCCAUCAGCACCGGAUGAUAUUCCGAGUAGUGACGAAGAUUCGAGUACUGAUGAUGAUAAAACUAGAGUCAUUUCCCCAGCUAAAGAAGUUUCACUCAGUGAUACGCCAAAUGUUAGUUUCCAGGAGUUACUUCCAAGAAUGAUUGAAGUGUAUGGCAUGGAGCCUAAACGGCCUUGUAAAUACGAUAUUGAAUUAUAUGAAAGGUAUGCCAACCUUGCAUCUUCUUCAAUGCCAAAAAAAUUCCAAAGGAGAGUGAAAAAACCAUCCAUGCUGUGGAAGCCGAAUACUUCAUUUAUAACGGAGGACAGUAGCAAGAAAGUAGCAGUACCAACAGUAACAGAACAUUCCAAGUUGGUCUACAACGCUUACGUGAAAAUUGGUACCGAAGGUCCACCAAAGCCAUCCCCGGAAACGAUACAGAUUUAUUCUAAAUAUGUUGCUCAAAGGUACAUGUAAUUGGAAUUGGCCACAGUGGAACCUCCUUAAAAAAUGGUUACUAGUAAGAGUCGCCUACAAUCAACUACCGAGAGAUCUAGUCCAUAAAAUUUAUUUCUGACUAUAGAGGUGUUAUAGAAAUGCCAUAAUUUUUCGAAUUAGCUCCUAGGUAGCUUAUUAAUUUGAGACAUUUUCCGAUAGGGACUAAUUCUAGGGGGGGGCAUAUAAAGUAGGGUGCGGGCUUAUAAAAGUUACCUGAAUGUUUCUAUGAAAGUCGCACUUUUUGAAGCUUCAUUCGUUUUUGAUGAAGGAAGCAUCUGGAUGCAAUAUCGGCAGGAAAAAUAAUAUGAAAGAGUUUUUCAGUCCCUAAUUUUACCUUGAACUUGCUAUUGAUAUUGAAUAAAAUAAUAUAUUGCAAGAAUUGACAUAUGGGUUGGGGCUAAUUCCAUGUAGGUGCCAGGGUAGGAUGAGAGAUGAUUGGGGGAGGAUCCUUAAGGGUCCUUAAUAUUUUUUAUUGUAGUUAAUUUCCUACAUUUAAUUUUAUUAAUUAACUUUGUAGUCAAUUAAAUCAGACACACUGAAUUAACCAAAGACGUCGAAGGCAUCAUGUGUAGUAAUAUAGAAAGAUUAACUAUUUUACGGUCAAAGUUGAGAAUCGCCGGGAAAAAAAGACCAAUUUUUUUCGGAAAAAGUCCCCUGCGACGUGUGAAAGAGAUAUGGAUGGAUUAUUCAGUCCUUUGCCUCGAGAAAGUUUCUGUGAAAAGGCAUUUCUUAUCGUCGUUUUAUCUCAGGUACUUCCAAACAGGUAAAAAAUUAUUGAUGUCUUGACCGCAAUUGAGUGAAACCUGAAGCUUGCAAAAUUGGAGAAGAGAUACCUAGCUGUUAAUUCUUAAGUCUGUUUUUAUCAUCUAAAUCAACUUUUAAAGCAUUACAAGCAAAAAAGUUUAAUUAAUUUACCCUUUCAAGAUUAAAAAACUUGCACUGAACUGUUCUCAAUUUUUUCUAAAAUUAUUAGGCUAUAGGCUUAGCAAAAUGGGCCAUUUUUUAGAGAAAACAUUUUUUCCAAAAUGUGGAUGUUUAUCGUUGCAAAGUUUGCAAUUAAGGAAUUUGAUCAUGAUUUUUCGAUCAUAUGAGCAGCAGAAUACUUAAUUGAUUCUCAUUUUCAAUUGAGAUUUCUAAAGUGAAAUUAAUACUCAACUUCCAUAAUUUUGCCGGAUGGUAGUAAAUAACAUAUGAUAUUAUAAAAAACUUCCCUUAUUAAGUUUUUCUGGACCAGGCAAGAUUACAGUUAACAUUGUACAAUUUCACGAUGACAACAUUUCUGCCGAUUAUCAACAGAAUCACCUUAGAUGAUAUUUUAAUGCUUGGACUUCAAAUAGAAAAACCCCAAAAUUGAAUCAAUGACAUCAUUACCAACCUGUCUCUAGAGAAUCUUUAAUAAGGAACGACCAUCCAAAAAUCAUAUUGCAGUUUAGAAGCAAAAAGAUUUUUGGGAUGCCAAAGCAAAAUUUCCUGUGUUGAAGUAUUGAGAUCAAUAUAUGAACAAUUUUUU